rnacentral:rRNA from 1 species
UACGUAGGGUGCGAGCGUUGUCCGGAAUUACUGGGCGUAAAGAGCUCGUAGGUGGUUUGUCGCGUUGUUCGUGAAAACUCACAGCUUAACUGUGGGCGUGCGGGCGAUACGGGCAGACUGGAGUACUGCAGGGGAGACUGGAAUUCCUGGUGUAGCGGUGGAAUGCGCAGAUAUCGGGAGGAACACCUGUGGCGAAGGCGGCUUUCUGGGCCCUACCUGACGCUGAGACGCGAAAGCGUGGGGAGCGAACCGG